UACAGAGGGUGCAAGCGUUGUUCGGAAUUAUUGGGCGUAAAGGGCGCGUAGGCGGCAAUUCAAGUCAGCUGUGAAAUCUCCGGGCUUAACUCGGAACGGUCAGCUGAUACUGCUUUGCUAGAGUGCAGAAGGGGCAAUCGGAAUUCUUGGUGUAGCGGUGAAAUGCGUAGAUAUCAAGAGGAACACCUGAGGUGAAGACGGGUUGCUGGGGCUGACUACGUGACG
rnacentral:rRNA from 1 species